rnacentral:rRNA from 1 species
UACGGAGGGGGCUAGCGUUGUUCGGAAUUACUGGGCGUAAAGCGCGCGUAGGCGGACCUGCAAGUCGGGGGUGAAAGCCCGAGGCUCAACCUCGGAACUGCCUUCGAUACUGCGGGUCUCGAGUCCGGGAGAGGUGAGUGGAGCUGCGAGUGUAGAGGUGAAAUUCGUAGAUAUUCGCAAGAACACCAGUGGCGAAGGCGGCUCACUGGCCCGGUACUGACGCUGAGGUGCGAAAGCGUGGGGAGCAAACAGG